CUGAACUGGCCAAACCCCUCUGGGUGACAGGUGACAGCAAUAUGAAAAAAAAGGGAUUCUGAAAUGAACAUAGUGGAAUGAGAAAAUCCACGGAUUGCACAAAAUCACACCGAAGCCAUGAAUGGCUUCAACCAAAGGUAUCUACCAAAGGAACAGUUGCUCCUGAUGUUUGGAAUGUAAAUACAGACAUGUCUUGAGAUCUGGACAAGAGGUGCUCUCAAGAUGGUGUUCUCCUUCAGCAACAGGUGAGGGAGUUCUGAAUUGCUGAUGUAACUUGGCAAAGGCUGAGGGAGCCAGUGUUAAGACUGCUGUUGCAGAUAUAAUUAACUCCAGUGCCAACAGCUACACAGUUCCAUAUGGACCAUCCAGUGCCUACCGAGUUCUGUGUAUUUGGUGAAGAAUAUUAAUAUUAAAGUGUUCUGAUUUAGGGUCUGACUAUAUAAGUACUCCAAAUGCCUGAAAAAUUUCUAAGAAUGUGGCAUUUACAACAUAGCAAAGUAGAUGUUGGUGCUUUAAUUGCAAGUGUGGCAGAAAUGACCACAGUAAUGUGGCAAGGGAAGAAUAAUCAUAGUAAAAUGAAAAUCAUAAUCUUCUGACCUGGCACUGAUUUGCAGAAGUAUUGUGGCUCUUGUUCCUGGAUUCCUGGCAAAGAAUUCAGU